GAUGAACGCUAGCGGCAAGCCUAACACAUGCAAGUCGAACGGUAACUUUUGGUGCUUGCACCGAAAGACGAGUGGCGAACGGGUGCGUAACGCGUAUGCAAUCUGCCUUUUACUAGGGUAUAGCCCAGAGAAAUUUGGAUUAAUCCCCUAUAAUAUCAUUUAAUCGCAUGAUUUUAUGAUUAAAGCUUCGGCGGUAAAAGAUGAGCAUGCGUCCUAUUAGUUAGUAGGUGAGGUAACGGCUCACCUAGACUCCGAUAGGUAGGGGUCCUGAGAGGGAGAUCCCCCACACUGGUACUGAGACACGGACCAGACUCCUACGGGAGGCAGCAGUGAGGAAUAUUGGACAAUGGACGAAAGUCUGAUCCAGCUAUGCCGCGUGCAGGAUGACGGCCCUAUGGGUUGUAAACUGCUUUUAUACAGGAAGAAAAACUCCGACGUGUCGGAACUUGACGGUACUGUAAGAAUAAGGAUCGGCUAACUCCG
rnacentral:rRNA from 1 species